CUUGGGAAGAUGAACCCAGAUUCCAAUACCAACAGCGCAAUGCUCGAAAAAGCUUUGAAGGGGCAUGGAAUGCCAUAAAGAUGAAAGACACAAUUGAAUUUUGUAAACCAAAGGUGGCUUCAAGCAAGCCUUCAAUGGCUCCACUAUGCUCGCAAUGUGGGAAGUCAUUCAAACCCGAGAAGAUGCAUUCACACAUGAAGUUGUGUCUAAGAAUGAAGAGUUCAUUGUCGAAGGAUGAUGAUUUGAUGACGGGAAAUAAUACCAUUAGACCGAACCAGCAACGCUGCAGAAACAUUUCGGGAGAUCCAUCAGGACAUCAACGUGUAGUGAGAGCUACUCUCAAAGAAUAAUGAAGCUUAACUAUGAUUGAUUAUCUAGCUGUGCGAUAUGUGAAUGGAUGCAGACGGGUAAAAUUUUCACUAGUUCAGUGAAGUUCAGUUUGAUGAA